AUGUUGUUAAAGUUAAAUGUUAUGGACGCUUCAGAAACUCUUCAUUUGUUUAUUCAGUCUUGUGUGUUUUAUUUAUCAGCAGUUUCUGCACAUGAGUCCACCAUCGCCUCCACUUCUCCUCCAGUGUCAGAGUGUGUGUUCUGCUGGACGCUGCUGUUGAGUGUGUGUCCGGUGUGUGUUCUCCUCUCCUCACUCCUGUCCUCCAUCUGUGUUUACUGCUUCUGUCGUCCUCAAACUACAGGUUCUGACAUGAGUGCUGAGAUUCUUAAAGCAAAUGUUUUGAUGGCAGAUUGUGUGGAGAAACAUCAGUGUGAGGCGAGUAAGACUGGAAAGAUCUGUGUCCACACUGAAGUCUCUUAUAGACGACUGACAUCUAAACAUCCCUACACCAACAUCUGACACAUGAACUGCUCUUAGUCUACUUUCUGUCUUAUUUCUGAUAGUUUGAGUAUUUACUUACAGUACAUUAUCUAUUACAAUCAACGGUCUUUAAAAUUAAUAGUAUGACCCACUGACUCUUUAUGAUUUAACAUUUCAUUUUUUUUACAAUAAUAAUGUAAUCAAAGAUUGUUUCUCAAUUAGCGCAAUAUUGUUAAGAUGACUCAAAGAUUUGUAAAAACACAAGACUGUGCAUGUUUUU
ensembl:lincRNA